rnacentral:rRNA from 1 species
AGAGUUUGAUCCUGGCUCAGGAUGAACGCUGGCGGCGUGCUUAACACAUGCAAGUCGAGCGAAGCAGUUAAGAAGAUUCUUCGGAUGAAACUUGAUUGACUGAGCGGCGGACGGGUGAGUAACGCGUGGGUGACCUGCCCCAUACCGGGGGAUAACAGCUGGAAACGGCUGCUAAUACCGCAUAAGCGCACAGAGCUGCAUGGCUCGGUGUGAAAAACUCCGGUGGUAUGGGAUGGGCCCGCGUCUGAUUAGGCAGUUGGCGGGGUAACGGCCCACCAAACCGACGAUCAGUAGCCGGCCUGAGAGGGCGACCGGCCACAUUGGGACUGAGACACGGCCCAAACUCCUACGGGAGGCAGCAGUGGGGAAUAUUGCACAAUGGGGGAAACCCUGAUGCAGCGACGCCGCGUGAGCGAAGAAGUAUUUCGGUAUGUAAAGCUCUAUCAGCAGGGAAGAUAAUGACGGUACCUGACUAAGAAGCCCCGGCUAACUACGUGCCAGCAGCCGCGGUAAUACGUAGGGGGCAAGCGUUAUCCGGAUUUACUGGGUGUAAAGGGAGCGUAGACGGCACAGCAAGUCUGAUGUGAAAGCCCGGGGCCCAACCCCGGAACUGCAUUGGAAACUGCUGGGCUUGAGUGCAGGAGAGGUAAGCGGAAUUCCUAGUGUAGCGGUGAAAUGCGUAGAUAUUAGGAGGAACACCAGUGGCGAAGGCGGCUUACUGGACGGUAACUGACGUUGAGGCUCGAAAGCGUGGGGAGCAAACAGGAUUAGAUACCCUGGUAGUCCACGCCGUAAACG